rnacentral:rRNA from 1 species
AUUGAACGCUGGCGACAGGCUUAACACAUGCAAGUCGAGCGGGGGAGGUUGCUUCGGUAACUGACCUAGCGGCGGACGGGUGAGUAAUGCUUAGGAAUCUGCCUAUUAGUGGGGGACAACAUUCCGAAAGGGAUGCUAAUACCGCAUACGCCCUACGGGGGAAAGCAGGGGAUCUUCGGACCUUGCGCUAAUAGAUGAGCCUAAGUCGGAUUAGCUAGUUGGCGGGGUAAAGGCCUACCAAGGCGACGAUCUGUAGCGGGUCUGAGAGGAUGAUCCGCCACACUGGGACUGAGACACGGCCCAGACUGCUACGGGAGGCAGCAGUGGGGAAUAUUGGACAAUGGGCGGAAGUCUGAUCCAGCCAUGCCGCGUGUGUGAAGAAGGCCUUUUGGUUGUAAAGCACUUUAAGCGAGGAGGAGGCUCUUAAGGUUAAUACCCUUGAUGAGUGGACGUUACUCGCAGAAUAAGCACCGGCUAACUCUGUGCCAGCCGCCGCCGCAGUAA